rnacentral:rRNA from 1 species
AUUGAACGCUGGCGGCAGGCCUAACACAUGCAAGUCGAGCGGAUGAAGGGAGCUUGCUCCUGGAUUCAGCGGCGGACGGGUGAGUAAUGCCUAGGAAUCUGCCAGGUAGUGGGGGAUAACGUCCGGAAACGGGCGCUAAUACCGCAUACGUCCUGAUGGAGAAAGUGGGGGAGCUUCGGAUUUCAAGCUAGCAGAUGAGCCUAGGUCGGAUUAGCUAGUUGGUGGGGUAAAGGCCUACCAAGGCGACGAUCCGUAACUGGUCUGAGAGGAUGAUCAGUCACACUGGAACUGAGACACGGUCCAGACUCCUACGGGAGGCAGCAGUGGGGAAUAUUGGACAAUGGGCGAAAGCCUGAUCCAGCCAUGCCGCGUGUGUGAAGAAGGUCUUCGGAUUGUAAAGCACUUUAAGUUGGGAGGAAGGGCAGUAAGUUAAUACCUUGCUGUUUUGACGUUACCAACAGAAUAAGCACCGGCUAACUUCGUG